rnacentral:misc_RNA from 1 species
GUCGUGUGAGAGAAAGUGUAGCCACGUGGGGUAGUUGUGUUUUUGGUUGUAAUUUAAUUGUAGUUUUAAACGAUUUAGCGAGAGGACUGUGCACUGACAAAUAAAGUGUAAGCAAAAUCUAUCAGCUCAUUAUAGAUAGAAAACGGAAUUGAUUUUCAUAAAAAUCAAAAAGAAAAGGUUUUGAAACCAAGAAGUUGAGACUAAUGGCAGGGUUAUCUCCACGCACAAUUGCUGUGUGUGCUAUCCCUGCUCUUAUUGCCAUUUUGUCCAUUAUUUGGUUGAGGAAAAACCGAAAGAAAUCACCUAAACGGGACAGAAGUCUUGUAAACAAACAUCUAGAACAGGAAAGAGAAGGUGAUUUACCUUUCGUUGCUCCAGUUGCAUUUCCAACAACCACUAGGACUCUAUCAGGAGGUGAAGAAGAUGUCUCUAAAAUACUUGCUACGAGAAACUUAAAUGAAGAGUUUGAAGGAUUGCAUAAAAUAUGCAAGGAGGAUGAAUUGUGUCAGGUUCGUGAUGAUAAGUUGUAUGAAUCAGAGAAUCCAAAACAGAAAGUUGAGCCAGAAAUUGUGAGAAAACAUGUUAUCAAAGAUGAAUCUUACCCAAAAUUAAGUGGUAUUAUUACACCGAACAAAGAGAGGGAGUUAAUUAAUGAAAUCAUUCAUGCUGAUAAGCAGUGCGGUGAUAAAGGAGACACUGAAAGUACUUCACUGCAGCCUCUAUGUAUCGGCAAAGUUCUUGAUCAGGAUUUUGCUAGUAGUGUAUCUAAGAGUUCGGGGGAAAAACCAGAGAUCUCUGAAGAAAAUAUCGAUUUGGCUGAAAUCAUCACAGUACAGUAUAAUAAAAAACAAACCAGAAAAAAUGAAAGUGCCGUAUUUACCAAUGCAGAAACAAUAGAUGAAGAACAUCUAUUUGAUGAAGAACAUGUUAAAAAAAACAGUGAAAAGAAUGAAAGUGAGAGAAAUUUUCAAGAAGAUGCUAAGAAGAAUGUUACAGAUGAUUCUCUCACCUUUGUACUGAAAGAAAGUAUACAUUUCCCCUCAGACAUCGGCAUUAAUAAGUCAGAGUUGAACAUGUUAAGAACUUCUGUGGUUUCAGGAAAUCAUGGUAGUGUUGAUGAUUUACGACACAAUUCAGUUUCGUGGACAGAGGAAUGUGCACAGCUUCCAGAACUCUGUAAAGAAUCGCUUGAUAGUCAUUUAAUAAAUGCAGAAUCAACAAAAAAUUUCUUAAUUUCUGCUCAUUUGAGUAAACAAAAUGGCAUACAAGAUCAAACUGAUCACGUGACCCGCAUCUAUGAAACGCAUGUAAUCAGAACAGAUGUUAAUUCAGAAGUUCAGGAAGUUCAAACUGUAAACGUGGAAGGUGAUAAACAAAAAAAAUUGCACUUAUCUCAGUUGAAAGAUGAUAACGACGUAUCCUAUACAGAGGAUACAGAUUGUACAAUUCAUAAAUUGGACACUCGUACAGUUUCAUACCAGAAUCCUCAGGUACGCUCCGAAUCACAUACCCACAGUGCUGUUCCUAUCUAUGAUGCAAGUAACCUUUUGGACGUAAGAAAUGUUGACAGUCCGCCUCAUGGUACAUUGUCUGAUGGCUUAAGCGAGGGAUCAAGUGACAGUGGUAAAGGAGGUAGCGAUAUUCAGUUUGGAGCUGAUUCUUUACAAACAUCGCAGGCUGAAUCGAUGAUCACUGUGUAUGAGUUUGAAAUCCCCCAAGAUCUUUGUGGUCGCUUGAUUGGACGGCAGGGAAAACAUGUCAAUUACAUUAAAAGCUGUUCGAAUGCUAAUGUAUUCAUCAAAAGACAUCUUUUCAAUCCUCGCAUGAAACUAUGUGCUAUUGAAGGUACAGAAGCAGACAUCAAAACUGCUCUACAUUUAAUUAGGAAGAAGUUUCCUCUGACUCACUAUCCCACGGUUACUCUUGUUCAAGUUAAUGUUCCUCUUACGUGUGGUAUUCCUGUACCAGAGACUUUGCAGCUUCUUCUUCCAGAAGGGGUAUCAUGUGAUACCAUUUUGUCCAGCAUGGUUACAGCUGGUCACUUUUUUCUUCAGCAGCCAACACACCCAACUUACCCAUCUUUGAGCCAACUUGACCAAUGUAUGACUACAUGUUACAUACAGGUGGACACUCCUCCCCUUCCUCAACCUGUCGAAGCAAGUGUAGUAUGUGCAGCUCCCAUGAUGGGAGGAUGGUUCAGAGCCCAGAUAAUGUAUGUACAUGAAAACAUGGAAGAGUGUGACAUCAAAUUUGUAGAUUAUGGAGGAUAUUCAAGAGUUCCAGUAUCUUCUUUGAGACAGAUAAGGAGUGAUUUUAUGACAUUGCCUUUCCAGGCAACUGAGUGUUAUCUGGCAAAUGUAAAGCCUAUAAAUGAUGAAGUUGCAUGGUCUCUAGAAGCUUGUGCCACGUUUGAAGAAUUAGCUCAAGGACAGAUUCUCCAAGCUAUGCUCGUCGCAUACGCUGAAGACGGUGUUCCAUAUGUUCAUCUGUACAGAGUUCAAGGGUUAUCGACAUUGUUCAUCAAUCGUGAACUAGUGAAUCGUGGAGUAGCACAGUGGAUUGAACAUCAGGGUUGAUUUCAUUUUCAAUUCUGUUUCCAUUAUUUUUCGCGUGCGGCAGCAUCGUUCAAAUCUUUUGUAACAAUCAACCAUGAGAGUAGCUAAUGUUUCCUGUUUAAGGUAGUAGCUGACAAGUGUGUGACGAACUCGGGUAUUCUGUCUUUGACUUAAUACUACAGAAUGUCAUUUUCAUUUCUGGUAAUUUAUGUGUGAAUCUUUUGUGAUCUAUAAUUUAUAGUAGCGUGUGGUAUAAUGGUACAAAUAGACGUUUGAAUUGUUUUUCUUUAGUUUUGGGAGUGAGAGCCUUUUUUCAUAGUUGAUGAUUUAUCUACUAGCUGAAUGGUUUUGCUUGAAUGUUAUGUAUAGUGAUUUAAAACUUUAAUUAGGAGUUAGAAUCACAAGAACUUUAACAGUGAUAAACUUUAUUAUUAUUGAGUAAUUUUGAAGUUAGCAUUCAAUAUUGUAUAGUUUGGAGUUUUAGUUUUAAACAUUUUUCCGGAAGUAACUACAAACUUGCCAAGACUUCAGCACGUUAAAGAAUUGUAGAUGUUAUUAGUUUGUAUAUUAUAGACACAGGUUAGAAUAUCAUAACAUUUUACCACAUUUUUUAUGGUAUUCAUUAUUGAUGAAAACUGAAUACUUUAUUUUCCCAAAUCAUCAAGUUUUUUCUUGUAUAGAUGAGAAAAAUUAGUGUUACAGUAUCUUUCAUUUUUGUAAUUUUUUUAUUUUUCCAAACAAAAGUAUUGAAAUCAUUUUUUGUAUGUAGUAUAAUGCAGUUUCAUGAGAAAAUGUUCCAAGAUAAAGCAGCUUACAGAUUCAUGAGAUGUUCUAAGAUAAAGCAGUUUACAGUUUCAUGAGAAUAUGUUCUAAGAUAAAGCAGUUUACAGUUUCAUGAGGUGUUGUAAGGUAAAACGUUUACAGUUUCAUGAGGUGUUGUAAGGUAAAGCAGUUUACAGUUUCAUGAGAAUAUGUUCUAAGAUAAAGCAGUUUACAGUUUCAUGAGAUGUUCUAAGAUAAAGCAGUUUAUAGUUUCAUGAGUAGAUGUUCUAUAAAGAAAUAGAAAUCCCAUUUGCUAAAAGCAUGAAAAUGAAUUCAAGAAAUUAACAACGUAAAGUCUGGAGUUAAAAGGUCGCAUAUAAUUUAAAAUUUGAAAAUAAUUUAUUUUUUCUCCAAAAUAUCAUUUAACCUUAAUAUGUCUGUGUUGAUAUAAACGUGUUGCUCAGUUGAGUUCAAUAAUUGUUUAGGUAAAAAUGUUCUCAUAAAAAAAAAAAGAUAUUUAAACUUACAAGCACUAAAACAAAUAUAUAGUAUAAAAUUAACUUUUGA